CUUCUUGUUGUGGGGAUGUAUAAGUACCCUGCCACUUCCACUGUGAGUCUGUUCAUAUGGUGUACUGUUACUACACUGUUCCUUGUUAGAUGGAGGUUAGGGUGCCUGCUUAACAUGUUUAACUCCCCUCCCCAUUCUGUAUGAAUGUAUCAGGCCGUUAGUUUUCUUGUUUGAGUUGUUUUACAUUGUCAUUUCAUGGCCUUUUACAUCUGACUUUGCAGUAAUGUGUUUAAUCAAUGUUGAGGGCUGUACGGUGAUCUAGAGUUGUUAAUUUCAUAGUCAUUUGGUCUUUUGCUAGAGUUGUAGAAUUAGCAAUCAUACCACAUCUUAUUUUCAUAUUACAUUAUAUUUACAGAAAAUAAACACUGCUUUUAGAUGUCAAUAUUUUUAUUCAUUACUCAUUAUAUAAAAACAAUUAAAGCUACUACAUGUAACCUAGAGACACUUUUAAAGUGUAACAAACAUAUACAUCUUACUUUGCUAACAAACAAAAUUUGCAUACUUUAAUAAUAAAAUGGUUAAUUUUUUCACACAGUUAUUGUAGCUUGUUAUAAAGCUAUUAAACAUGUAUACACCAAAGAAUCUUUUGUUACAUACUCAGCCAAUACAAUAGCAAAUGUCCUUAGCUGUCUUAGCUCUUAAUUUAAAAAUAAUGACACAUUUAUACAUAUUUAAAUUCUUAUUUCAAACUUAAAAUGUACUUCCAAAUUGAUUUGUUUAUGGAAAAAGAAGUGAGUUUAGUUUGUAUACAGGGUCUUUGAGAGUUUGGAUGAUUCACCUUUUAUCUUUUCCACCAUAUUUGUUUGUGACAGUGGCCAUGACUGUAUCAUGUAAUAUUUAUUCCAAACUUUGGUUUUAGAAUCGUAGACUCUUAUAACAAUUGAGCAAGACAUCCGUUGAAGUUGGAAAUAAAGUAUGUAAAUACAUGUACAGUAGUCAUUACGUAAUACUAUAGUAUAUAGAAUGUACUGAUGAUAAAUUACUACUCAGUAAAAAGUACUCAUACAUCACAUUGGUCAAAUCAUAACUUCACGUAAAAAUCUAGUUUUUGAACUGAUGUGAACUAAAGUAGUGUAAUUUUAGAAAAAAAAUUCUUGACACAGUUGUUGUAAAUUGAAUACCAUCUUUCUCUUAUAAUUGACACAUUUCAUAUAUAUAGCACCAUCUUCAAUAAUCACAAAUAAUAUUGGAUGCUAGUACUAGUGUAAAAACGUUUGUCUCUAAAAACACCUGGCGGGUUGGAGGCCAUCAUUGGGUGUCAGCACUUAUUUUUUACUUUUGCAAAUUAAUGAUAAUGAUAGAUUUUUUUCUUAUCAUGUUCUCUUCAAAAUAUCAGUGAUUUCAUGCAAAAGUUUGCUUAAAAAUACAUUCCAUUUAUCAUUACUAUAUCAAAGCAUCAAUUUUUUUUUUACAGUAGUUUUAUUUAUUUUAAUAUAUUGCAUACUAUGAUUCUUGCAAUUGAAAUAUUUGUUCAGUAUCAAGUGAUAAGUUUUUGUAAACACAUAGGAACAUAUGAGACAGAAUGUUAUUUGAAUUGAUAUUUUGUAGGUAAUCAUUAGAAUCCUUAUUAUUAAUGCUAUAUACUGCUCGACACAAACUUCCUAUUUAUAGGAAAGAAUAAAGAUGUUUUCUUAUGUCAAUAAAAAUAAUAGUUGACAAUUUUGGAAGGAACUAAGAUUACACAGGGUAAUAUUCUGUAAUGGGGUAUUCCUAUAUUAAGACUUGUAAAAUAUAUAUUUUUUCUCUAUUUCUCCAACAACCUUCAACACAGAUUAUUUAUAUUGGACAGAAUGUUUGCACUUAGAAUGAUACAGAUCACUAGGUUUUCAUCUUAACAUUCUGCAAGGCUCAAAUACACCAUAGCACUACAUUAAAACACUAUCAGACUGUCACUUUAAGCCACUAAUUUGCAUUCAACAUUGUGCAAUAUUUUGUGUAAUAUAAUCAAUGUAAUAUAAUGUAAUACCAUGAAAUGAUCAAUGUAAUACAAUGUAAUACAGUGUAAUGAUCAAUGUAAUGCAAGAAUAAUCAAUGUAAUACAAGAAAAAUCAAUGUAUUACAAUGUGAUACAAGAAAAAUCAAUGUAAUACAAGAAAAAUCAAUGUAUUACAAUGUGAUACAAGAAAAAUCAAUGUAU
rnacentral:lncRNA from 1 species